rnacentral:lncRNA from 1 species
CCUGAUGGGGAGCUGUUUCUGGAGUUGAUAUUAGAAUGCCACGUAUCCAAUCUAUUUCAAACCUAUUUACUUACUCCUGCAAGCCAUGUGUAUGGUGCUGGUUUACAAAUUCUCAAAGACACACAAGCUGCCAGGUGGCACAACAAGCCUUCCGGAGGGGAAAAACCCAGAAUAUUUGGCCGUGGUGGAGUCGCGUUUGAAUCAUUCCAUUCCACCCAACCUCCUC